UUUCUGGUGCUUGCACUAGAAAAACUUAGCGGCGAACGGGUGAGUAACACGUAAAGAACCUGCCUCAUAGACGGGGACAACUAUUGGAAACGAUAGCUAAUACCGGAUAACAGCAUAAAUCGCAUGAUAUAUGUUUAAAAGUUGGUUUCGGCUAACACUAUGAGAUGGCUUUGCGGUGCAUUAGCUAGUUGGUGGGGUAAAGGCCUACCAAGGCGACGAUGCAUAGCCGACCUGAGAGGGUGAUCGGCCACACUGGGACUGAGACACGGCCCAGACUCCUACGGGAGGCAGCAGUAGGGAAUCUUCCGCAAUGGGCGAAAGCCUGACGGAGCAACGCCGCGUGAGUGAAGAAGGAUUUCGGUUCGUAAAGCUCUGUUGUUAGGGAAGAAUGAUUGUAUAGUAACUAUAUACAGUAGAGACGGUACCUAACCAGAAAGCCACGGCUAACUACGUGCCAGCAGCCGCGGUAAUACGUAGGUGGCAAGCGUUGUCCGGAAUUAUUGGGCGUAAAGCGCGCGCAGGUGGUUUAAUAAGUCUGAUGUGAAAGCCCACGGCUCAACCGUGGAGGGUCAUUGGAAACUGUUAAACUUGAGUGCAGGAGAGAAAAGUGGAAUUCCUAGUGUAGCGGUGAAAUGCGUAGAGAUUAGGAGGAACACCAGUGGC
rnacentral:rRNA from 1 species